GGGGAGAUCCUGAUUGGAGGGCGUCAGAGCAGGAGGAAACGGAGAGAAAGGCUGAGCGCUCGCGGACGGAAGAGGGAUUUCUGGUUUGUUUUGUUCUAUUUUGGUUUUGGUUUUUUAGUUUGGGUUUGUUGCCAGAGGUGAGGAGAUAGACGUUUAGUGCGGAAUCUUGCUCCCGACGCAGAGUCCCAGCUAAAGAAAUCCCUCUCCUAUAGUCGGUAACCCAGAGGCCCUCUCCAGACUCCAGAUCUAAUAGAGAAAACUCAAGAGAGCUCCCAGUUAUUCUAUCAGUUCACUUCACAGCGGGCCUGCCGGUCAGUGUGGCAGUGUGAUCCAGGACUCUUCCAAGACCCGGGGCCCUGCCCUUUGGAGACGCCUGCCCAACCUUCCGCAUCCCUGGGGCGAGAAUCUUGACGAUCAGUGUCCCGAUGUCCCCACGCCUACCCCCACCUGACCUCCCUCCCGGUACUCAGGACCCCAGAAUCCCUGCCCAAAUGGCCCAAGCCCGCUUCCAGAGCCCAUGUGGGUCUGUUCCCAUAGUCCACCCUUUCAAGGGUGGCCUGUGCAGCCGGUGGCCUAGGGGUCGCUGCUUGGGGCCCGGGCAGUGGGCAGAACGCAGAUACAGGCUGGUGUUAGGAGCGUGCGGCUGGGCCCCCUGCUGAGGGUGGGAAGGACACAGGGACAGGCCCCGAGCUGGGACUGCCUCUCUCUGUGAUGCCGAAUUCUGUCAGAGGAGCUUGAGAAUUCUAAAUUCACGCUCUGCCUUCCGGAGUGUUACGAAGGUACAUUUGUGAAGAUAGAAGGAUAGGACGUAAUUUAUUUAACAAUUUGUUAGCUUGAUUUAUGGCUUUUAAAUAUUUUAGAUACCUAGUAUGUGAGUCUUUAUUUGAACUCUUGUGCUGGUCCUGCAAACUGGUGAAAAAACAAAGAUUUGCCAGGCAUGGACGCCUCUAUUUCCAGCUGUGCGGCCGAGCUUUUUCUCCAUGCCCUGUCUUUGUUCAAACGCUCCGAUACUGUGUGUCGGUUAAUAAGCUUGCCAUACUUAUAUUAAGGGCAGUAAUGAAGGAGUAGAGGCUCUUUUGUGUUCUCUAUUCUUUUUUGGUUGCCUACCUUCUGAAGCCCCUGUCGGUGUCUGGGACAAUCCCCACCCUGCACACACACACACGUUUAUGGACCUCCGUAGGGAACAGAGCUCACAUCCCAGUACAGAAGACAAAAAUGCGAGGAACUUGCUAUGGCAGGCACUACCAGUUGUCUCCCCUAAUAUCCAUUCUCUUCUUUUUAGUAAGAGAACCCCCAAUUUUUAGCUGGGCACAGAGCCACCCAGAGCAAAGACUACAUUUCCCAGAUUCUUUUUCUGCUAGAUGUGGCCAAAUGAUCAAGUUUCCACCAUUGAGACAUAAAUAAUGUGAGUUCCAGGAAGUGGUUGUAAGGGAAGGGGUCAUCUUUCUUGCCUCUUUCUCUUUCUUGAUGGCUGGAAUGUGAACUUGAUGGCAGACGCUCAAGCAGCCAUAUUAGUCUAUAAGGCAGCAUGCAAAGGCAGAGUUGAGGGAGCUUCAGAUCAGCCUUGCACUCUUUGCCUUCGAACUUUUUUACAAAGAGAGAGAUAAAUUUCUAUUUUGUUUAAACCACAAUUAUUUUGAGUUUUCUAAACAUGGCAUGGAACCCCAGACUGAAUCAUGCAUUUGUCUUCCCAGCCUCUCUUGCAGCUAGGGUGCAGCAUGUGGCCAGGCUCUACCCAAGGUGGCCUCAGCGGCGAGCUUGAGCUCCUGCAGUAGUGGCUGUUUCCAGUGUCCAGUGCUGGGGGCCAGGCAAGAUGAAGUGCCCAGUGCUUGGUGGUGGCAGCAGGUCCUCACUAGGCCAGUUAUGUCUCAAAAUUUUGGCACUCUUCUUGGCUGCAUGGUCUCAAACCUAGUUUUUUAGCCUACCUGCUGAUUCUGUAAGUUAUCCAACAUCCUCUUAAUAAAUUCCCUAUCUCACAUCUGCCAGAGUUAGUCAGUAACCCACAGUCUUCACCCCUGUGAAACAAAAUACUUUCUAACAGUAAGAUUUCACCAAGAUGGUUGGUUUUUGCCACCAAAUAAGUCCAAUGAAUAAUCUGUCAACUCAGACUCAACACAAGGCACAGAUUCCAUUUCAAAGUCAGAAUUUUCCAACAACCUUAUUUCUAAACAUGCUUCUGGGGGGCAGAAUCAGGUACUUUGGAGUAUUUGGUGUCUCUUGUCACGGGGAUGGGUGCCAUCUGCUAGUUGAAGCCAUGGUAUUUGGGGAUGAUACCAGUAACCAAAAUUAAAUAUGAAUUUAAUACAAAAUUAAAUGAUAAAUAUAUGCAAAGGCCAACAGCACUUCACUUAUCCAGGGCUGAGUGAAACAGCAACCUCGGUUAUUUGGAACACUGUCCGAACCAGAAAAGGAGCAAAAAUAAACAGCACCCAAAACCAGAUGAAGAAACCAACAACCACCCUCAAAGCAAAACAAAAAAGACUGUUCAUGGCCAAAAUAAAUGACACCGAACUCACCCCCCACACACAGCUGAGGUAUUUACCCACAGGUCAAAAAUGGCUGGAUAUUGUCAGUUUGAUACAGUCUGGCUCUUCCUAUGCAUGGAGCUCCUAUCACAUGCCAGGCACAAUGGCCCCUCUCCUACCAUUGUCAAACCCUGGUAGCUGGACAUAGUUCUACUGGUAAACACCCCAGCCCAGCCCAGACUGUCGGAGCCAACCCUGGUCCUUCGCUGGGGGCGUACAGCAGUGUUCUUGGCUGGUCCUGCUUCGAGGCCUUCAGACAUCGUGCCAGGCUCUGUGCUAACAGUCACACGAGUUGAGCAUUACGCCCCUAUUUUACAGACAUGGGAACUGAGGCUCCUACCCAAGGUCAUGCAGGGAGGACUCAAACCCAAGCCUGGUGGACUUUAAACCUGGACGACAGCCUUCCUGGUCAGGGUGUUUCUCAGCUGAUCCCUCAGCCACCUCCCUUCUGCUUCCUACUCCCCAUCGCCACUCCCUCAAGCCUUAAAAUUCCCCUGUGAAGAGAUUUAUUCCUUGAGGCUGAAAGCAUUUCAAUUUUCAAGAGUCUCCAUUAAAAUGCAAAAGCCCCGGGGGUCCGGCCCAGUGUCGCAAUGGUUAAGUGCGCACAUUCUGCUUCGCGGCCUAGGGUUCGCUGGUUCGGGUCCCCGGUGUGGACAUGGCACUGC